UCAAGGUGUUAGUUUGUAUCCCUGGAUGCGGCAGAGAAUGGACCCAAUGUUGCUUGGAAAUUAUCCUAAUCAGCAGUACGGGUACCAAGCCAUGUUGGCUGCUGGCAUGCAGAACCUAGGAAGUGCAGAUCUCCUAAGACAUCAAGUUAUGCAAUUUCAGCAGCCUUUACAGGGUCUUCAACAGCCAGGGAGCCAUACUUCACUCUUGCAGCAGCAGCAGCAGCAACAACAGCAACAAGAAGAAGAAGCAAUUCCUCUUAAUAUCCUGCAGGCACAAACCCAAGUUUUAUCAGAGAACAUGCCACAGCACCUUAUAUGGCAAUCACUUAACAACCAACAAGAGGAUCAGGCAUGGCAACAGCAACAUACCUAUCAGAAUACACUUCAUAUUCGAAGUGAUCAGCUGCAUCAGAGGCUGCAGUCAAAUGUGCCUUCUUCAUCCUUUGUGAAGGCAGACUUCAUGGAUCCAAGUACAAAGUUCUCAGCAUCCAUUAGCCCUAGACAAAACAUGGUCAGUUCACUUUGUCCUGAAGGGAGUAGCAAUAUUUUGAACUUCUCCAGAGUUGGUCAGUCCAUGCUAGCUGAGAAGUUACCCCAACAAUCAUGGGCUCCAAAGUAUUCACAUUCAAAGGUUGAUGAUUUUGCCAACUCAAUGUCACACUCACCUUAUCCUGGGAAAGAUGCUACUGAAGAGCCAGAAAUUUGUAACUCUGCUUCUCAGAAUCCUACUUCUUUUGUUGUUCAUGUUGAUUCAUCUGGACUUCUACUCCGUGCCACUAUGUCUACUUUUGCUACAUCAGUUGAUGCUGAUGUGUCCUCAAUGCCAUUAGGGGAUACUGGAUUUCAGAAUUCUCUGUACGGUUCAGAGCAAGACUCCUCUGAGUUAUUGAACAGUGCAGGGCAAGUUGAUCCACCAACCCCAUCUCAGACUUUUGUCAAGGUUUAUAAAUCAGGGUCGGUUGGGCACUCACUAGACAUCUCCCGGUUCAGCAGCUAUAUGAGCUGCAAGAGGAGCUGGCGCAGAUGUUUGGAAUUGAGGGAAAGUUUGAAGACCCUCUUAUAUUAGGCUAGUAGCUUGGAUGUGUUGACAGGGAAAAUGAUGUGCUUCUCCUUGGAGACGACCCAUGGGAGUAGGGCGUUUGUCAAUAAUGUUUGGUAUAUAAAGAUAAUUUCACCCGAGGGUGUCCAUAAAAUGGGAGAGCAAGCAGUUGAAUCCUUCAGCCCACAAGGUGGUCAAAGGCUGAAUUGCAGUAGUGGUGAAGCUCAAGACCUUGUCUCAGGGCUACCAUCUCUUGGCAUGCUCGGGAACUGAGGUUGAGGUUAAUAUAAAAGCAUAUUACAUAUAUUCCCAGAAAUUGUUUCUAGUUUCACUCGCUGAUAAAUCCAAAUAUUGGAUAUACUAGUUUUGGUGUGUGACCCUGCCUAUUUGCCUUUGUUUGGCUCGCAAGUAUGUUGUAUAACCUUUUUUUUCUAAGACUCUAGUAUUAAUGGGUUUGACUCUUAUGGAGAAAAAUAUAAGCUCACUACCUAGAUAAAAAAAUUAGAACUAUUGAAUUUCUAGCACCUUGAAACCUGUGUCCUAAAAUCAUGCUGGUGGUAUUGCUUUCAUGAAAGUAGCAUUUGACACUCAAGUUUGCUGCAUUUAGUUUGUCCUUGUUAAUGCGGAUACCAUCAUUUUGAGG